CUCACGUCAUUAACAAAAAAUGACGUUCUAGAAGAAUCUGCAAUGGCUGCAGAGUACUUCGUAGCCCAGCUAUGCUAUAAACUGACGAAGGUCCUGCACAUUCGAGUUUUUCCAGUUUCUUCCCAUGACAAACGACGCUAUCUGUGGUCUUAUGGCUAAUUUUGCCCCCGCCCCGCACCCCGUGAUCGUCGCUUCCUUAGAAAACGUCCCGGGAAUAGAACCGCUGGGUACAUCAAACAUCGAGGCUCCUGGAAAAUAAGCAGUCACGUGACUCCGGAGUUGUGACUUGGGGGAGGGCGGGAGAACCACCCAGAGGAGUCAGCAGUCCGAGGAGGGGUCCGCGCCCUCGCCGUCAGGGGUGCCCCCGGGGAGGGGCUUAUGCGGGCGUGGCAGCGUGACCUGGUCUGACCCCUCCCCCAGCAGAGCAGGGGGCGGGGGGCAGCGCCGCGGAGGCCGGCUUACAGCUCCGGCAGGCCGCGGGAGCACCUCCGAGGCCCAGGCUUCGGGUCUGUCAUCGCGUAAUCCACACCGCAGAGGAGCUGCGGACGUGUAAUUCAUUCCUCCCGGAUCCGGCGGACUUCGUGCCCGUCCUGACGGCUUUCGCCCAACUUGGGAUCUCGCCGCUGCCAGCAGCUGGGAGCGAAGAUCACGGACAUUGCCAUAACCUGUCGUGACCACACGAUGGCGGUGCUGCGCCGGAAGGGCGAGAGGCAUAAGAAAACCUAAAUCAGAAAAAGCGAUCUAAAAAGACUUGAGAGUAGGACCUGAAAAUUUGAUCGUAGAGGGAGAAGAGAGGUGGAAAGGGAAGUGCCGAUUACACCUGCACUUCACAAACAUGGUUUCAUUUCAAGUCCCUAAAGACUUAGGAGAGCCUCGAUUUCCCUCGAAGAAAUAAACUGGAAGGCAAAUGUCUGAGUAAAUGACAUCCAGUGCCCCACUAAGACUCAUGUGUGUUCCAAAGGCCGCUAAAACUUCCGGGAAACGACGGUUGAGAGGAAGACACUAAAGACCAAGGAAGCUAAGUCAUCGGUCUAAGGCUAACAGUGGGAAAAGGGCCCAGGCCAGGUCUCUUGGCUCCUAGUCCGCUUCCUUCUGUGUCCCACUGCGCUGCCUCCCAGAGCACCCCGCACCUGGGCAACCCUCGUAGAUGCUCUGUUGUCGGAAGUGGACGGUGAGCUAUUGAGGGCAGGGGCCGUGUCUCAUAUUCCUCCCGACCCAAUCCCAGGUAACAAACGUCUACAGAGCCCUGCUGGCUGGCAGUCAGCCAGCGAAGGACUCACGAACACAUUUCCUGCUCACGGCUCUGUCUGUGGUCACCUAGGCACGUGGCGGGUACCUAGCGGAUGCCGAGAUCUGCCAGAGGGUAGAGACGCCUGCGUUUAUGAAAAUGCCAUGUUCAAACAACGAGAAGUUAAGUGACGAUACAAGUCUUCCCCCAGUUCCUGAAUUAUAUGAAUUGUGUGAAAAAAUAAAUGAAUCCAAGGAAGAGAAAGCAGCCAUUUACCACUAACAUUUAGCAAAGGUGAAUGACAAAAAUCUGGAACUGUUUUUAGGGGAUGAUCCUCAGCAGUUGUAAUGACAAUAUUUUAUUGAGUUUUGUUACUGUUUCUCUUGGUUUUCAACGUGUCUCAGAAAACACUCCUUUGUGGAUGGAGUCCAACUCCUUUAUAAAGCUGAGCGCGAGUGACUGAACACACUUAGUCUCUAUAUUCUGACAUGGUUGCCUCUCUCUCCCCGCUAUGUACCAAUUUACACACACACACCCACUUGCACAUGUGUAUUUAUUUGGAGGUGGGGGAACAUGACUUGUUAUAUAUCCUAUUUGUAGCUCUGAAUCAUAGACAUGUUAUAAUUCUAUGACACUGCCAUGUUAUUUAUAGCUACGAUAUGGCAAAAGGAAUAACCAAAACAUGUAAAAAGCCAACGGGAAAAUGUUUUUAAAAAUUUAAGAUUAAACAUUAAAUAAAUCCACAGGCACAUGGGCCACCAGUGCCGCUUAGCUCAGCCCUGCCGGUGUCCACGUGACACCCAGGCUCUGCUGGAGCAGGGACAAGGAGGGACUGGCCGGAGGGGACACCAGGGUGGGGAACAACCCCCCGCCGCUGGCCCGGGUCGCUCCUCAGUGCACCUGCCCCCAGGGAACGCAGGAAGUAUAUAAAGCUCCACUCGAAGAAAAUGUCCUUAGAAAUCAUUUCUGGAUGAGGCCCUUCCUGCUUGAGACCCCACACCCGUGCGACAAGUCCUCCUCAAGUCUCCUGCCACGAGAGGCCAGCAGAACAGACCUUCCUCAAUUUGCAUUUUGUGUGACUUUUUACAGAAAAGGCUCUUUUUUUGGGGG